rnacentral:rRNA from 1 species
AACGAACGCUGGCGGCAUGCCUAACACAUGCAAGUCGAACGAAACCUGCGGGUCCAGUUUCGCAGGGGUGCGUAACGCGUGGGAACCUGCCCUUAGGUUCGGAAUGACUCCCCGAAUGGGGUGCUAAAACCUGAUAAUGUCUGUGGUCCAAAGAUUUAGCGCCUUUGGAUGGGCCCGCGUUGGAUUUUCUAGUUGGUAGCGUAAAAGCCCACCAAGGCGACGGUACAUAGCUGGACUGAGAGGAUGAUCAGUCACACUGGGACUGAGACACGGCGCAGACUGCUGCGGGAGGCAGCAGUGGGGAAUAUUGGACAAUGGGCGACAGCAUGAUCCAGCAAUGGCGCGUGAGUGAUGAAGGCACUAGGGUUGUAGAGCUGUUAUACCCGGGAUGAUAAUGACAGUACCGGGAGAAUAAGCGCCGGCUAACUCCGUG